rnacentral:rRNA from 1 species
CCUACGGGCGGCAGCAGUGGGGAAUAUUGCACAAUGGGGGAAACCCUGAUGCAGCGACGCCGCGUGAGGGAAGAAGUAAUUCGUUAUGUAAAGCUCUAUCAGCAGGGAAGAAAAUGACGGUACCUGAGUAAGAAGCCCCGGCUAACUACGUGCCAGCAGCCGCGGUACUACGGAGGGGGCAAGCGUUAUCCGGAUUUACUGGGAUUAAAGGGAGUGUAGACGGCAGUGCAAGUCUGUAGUGAAAGGCGGGGGCUCAACCCCAGGACUGCACUGGAAACUGUAAGGCUGGAGUGCAGGAGAGGUAAGUGGAAUUCGUAGUGUAGCGGUGAAAUGCUUAGAUAUUAGGAAGAACACCAGUGGCGAAGGCAGCUUACUGGACUGUAACUGACGUUGAGGCUCGAAAGCGUGGGGAGCAAACAGGAUUAGAUACCCGUGUAGUC